rnacentral:tRNA from 1 species
UAGUGAGUCGUCUAAUGGUAGGACAACAGAUUUUGGUUCUGUUAAUCGGGGUUCGAAUCCCUGCUCGCUAG